UACGGAGGGGGCUAGCGUUGUUCGGAAUUACUGGGCGUAAAGCGUGCGCAGGCGGCUUUGCAAGACAGAUGUGAAAUCCCCGGGCUCAACCUGGGAACUGCAUUUGUGACUGCAUGGCUAGAGUACGGUAGAGGGGGAUGGAAUUCCGCGUGUAGCAGUGAAAUGCGUAGAUAUGCGGAGGAACACCGAUGGCGAAGGCAAUCCCCUGGACCUGUACUGACGCUCAUGCACGAAAGCGUGGGGAGCAAACAGG
rnacentral:rRNA from 1 species